UACGUAGGCAGCGAGCGUUGUUCGGAAUUAUUGGGCGUAAAGAGCGUGUAGGCGGUUUGGUAGGUCCGCUGUGAAAACUCGAGGCUCAACCUCGAGACGCCGGUGGAAACCAUCAGACUAGAGUCCGGAAGAGGAGAGCGGAAUUCCUGGUGUAGCGGUGAAAUGCGCAGAUAUCAGGAAGAACACCCGUGGCUAAGGCGGCUCUCUAGUACGGUACUGACGCUGAGACGCGAAAGCGUGGGGAGCGAACAGG
rnacentral:rRNA from 1 species